AUUCUGCCCAAGCGGGGAAGGAUGAGAAGCUUCGACCAAGGUUCGACUUGAGCGCCAGCGAGAGAGCGUUGCCGCAGGCAACGACCCGAAGCGCGAAGCGCGCAGCGCUGAGUAAUCCUUCCCCCACCACCA
rnacentral:sRNA from 1 species